rnacentral:tRNA from 1 species
AGUCUUAUAGUCAAUAAUGAUAUUAGAUUGCAAUUCUAGAGGAAUAAUGAAAGUUAUUAAGACUU